rnacentral:tRNA from 2 species
GGCGGAUGUGGCCAAGUGGAUUAAGGCAAU